rnacentral:misc_RNA from 1 species
GAUGAAGAACGUAGCGAAAUGCGAUAAGUAAUGUGAAUUGCAGAAUUCAGUGAAUCAUCGAAUCUUUGAACGCACAUUGCGCCCGCUAGUAUUCUGGCGGGCAUGCCUGUCCGAGCGUCAUUUCAAGCCUCAAGCCCCCGGGCUUGGUGUUGGGGAUCGGCGAGCCUCCGCGCCCGCCGUCCCCUAAAUCUAGUGGCGGUCUCGCUGUAGCUUCCUCUGCGUAGUAGCACACCUCGCACUGGGAAACAGCGCGGCCACGCCGUUAAACCCCCAACUUCUGAACGUUUGACCUCGGAUCAGGUAGGAAUACCCGCUGAACUUAAGCAUAUCAAUAAGCGGAGGA